CACAUAUUUAUUACAUCAGACUUUAUUAUCAUUUGGUGGUUGUUUUCAUAGACCAGAAACAAAACAGCUUGUAAAAAACAAAAACAACAGAAAAUAAAACAAGUGCAGAGUUCAGGCGAGGACAACUGCAUAUAUUUCUUGAACAAGCUCGGGGUAACAAAGAGAAUAAAUAAAAGAGCAGUAGAGUUGAGAAUGCUGACAGCAACAUGCACAAACAGCACAAAUGUACACAGCUACUUGUCAUGUUGCGGCUACACAGUUUUACCCACAAUUCCAUAGAACAUUUGGUUAGGACCAAUCAAAUGAAUCAAUAAAUAACUGAAUGAGCUAUUGUUGAUUUUGCAGAUGAAGAGUUGGAGCAAGUGUCAAGGAGGAGACAAUCAGUUUGUAUCAACCCACAAUGUGCUAUAGUCUAUACUAACUGGGGUUAAGUCUCACUCCAAUAUGUACAAUACAACUUCUUACAGUUCUACAAUACAAGUGACCACUGGGCUGUACAAGCUACUCCCUCAGCUCUGGUAAUAAUUCUUCACAUAAUUAACAAUAGAAAUUAUGAUUCACACAAUGAAUUAUACUAUUCAAUCAUGAUAUAAAACACGACCAAUUAGUAAACCUUUUAGUUUUCAACGAUAAGCCUCUCUUUUUGUUAUUCCUUAUUUCAGCUCUAGAAAAGUUCUUUUUCAAUACAGUUGCUGUAGUUCACCCAUAUCUUUGUGUUCAUAAACUCUUUAGAGUGUGGAAGGUACAAAGAAGUUGAAUUAAAAAUAAAUUAUCAUUAAUGCUGUUAUAAAAGGAUACAUGACAAAAUCCACAUAAAAUUGCCAAUGGUGCAGAACUAAAAAAAAAAUAAUAAAAAAAUUCAUAACUAACAGAUCCUCAUCAUCCUCUGUCCAUAAGAGAAAUUAGUAAAAAUAUGUUUUGCUAAAAGUUAUCUACUUUGUCUGCCACAACAAAUGAUUUCAACAGUUGAGAAGAAGUGUGUACACUAACAAAUCAUAGGACUUUAAAUAGUUUCUAGAUGUGAACAAUUUUGACUGAGUUACAGAUCUAUAGCUGACAAAAAAACAACAACAAUGGUGUAAGUUUCAUAAAAAAAAAAGAAGGAAAGUGUCUUUUUAUCACAAUAGUAAAGUUAGUCAUCGUUAUAAUGUAGUCAAACAUAUUAAAAAUGAAAACAUUCAUAUUUACAAUGAGAACAAUUAUAAUUAAAGUGGAGUCAGACAAAUGUUAUCAUAUUUAUACAUAGUGAAUAUAGUCAUAGUGAAACAAUAUUUGAAUGAGGUCUUUGUCAUAGUGAAGACAUUUGGUUUGAACAAAACAAAGCCAAGUCAUGAGCAGCAGCCACAGUGAGUGAAAAAUUCAGAACAAUAACAAAAGUUUUUGUUUCACAUGUUUUGAAUGUUCCUUUAGAAUUGAAGAGUAUUAUGUCCUAGCACAAACCUUCUGCAAUAUAGGGGGAGAUGGCAGCUGGCAGGGUGUUGAACCUGGGACUAUCAAGGUGACAGUCUAGAGCACAUACCAAAUAUCCAGGCUGCCAUCAGACUAGAAAUAUGUAAACAAGACUUGACUUAUUGUUUACAAUUUUUAACACUAGUUUACCUAUCAAAAUUGGUUAUAAGCUGAAUAGUAAUGUAGGUGGGGGGGGGGGGGG